AGUUUGAUUAUGGCUCAGGAUGAACGCUAGCUACAGGCUUAACACAUGCAAGUCGAGGGGCAGCAUGUGGUGCUUGCAACCAAUGAUGGCGACCGGCGCACGGGUGAGUAACGCGUAUCCAACCUCCCCUUAGUAGAGGAUAGCCCGGCGAAAGCCGGAUUAAUACUCUAUGUUCUUCAAUGCGGACAUCUAAGUUGAAGCAAAGAUUUAUCGCUAAGGGAUGGGGAUGCGUCUGAUUAGGUUGCAGGCGGGGUAACGGCCCACCUGGCCUACGAUCAGUAGGGGUUCUGAGAGGAAGGUCCCCCACAUUGGUACUGAGACACGGACCAAACUCCUACGGGAGGCAGCAGUGAGGAAUAUUGGUCAAUGGGCGAGAGCCUGAACCAGCCAAGUAGCGUGCCAGGACGACUGCCCUAUGGGUUGUAAACUGCUUUUAUGCGGGAAUAAAGUCCACUACGUGUAGUGGUUUGUAUGUACCGCAUGAAUAAGGACCGGCUAAUUCCGUGCCAGCCGCGGC
rnacentral:rRNA from 1 species